rnacentral:rRNA from 1 species
AUGCUCCGACUCCUCGCAUGGGGUGUCGGGAAAGAUUUCAUCGGUAUGGGAUGGGGUCGCGUCCUAUCAGGUAGUCGGCGGGGUAACGGCCCACCGAGCCUACGACGGGUAGCCGGCCUGAGAGGGCGACCGGCCACAUUGGGACUGAGAUACGGCCCAGACUCCUACGGGAGGCAGCAGUGGGGAAUAUUGCACAAUGGGCGCAAGCCUGAUGCAGCGACGCCGCGUGCGGGAUGACGGCCUUCGGGUUGUAAACCGCUUUUGAUCGGGAGCAAGCCUUCGGGUGAGUGUACCUUUCGAAUAAGCACCGG